rnacentral:rRNA from 1 species
GCGGAGCUUGCUCCGGCUGACGAGUGGCGGACGGGUGAGUAACGCGUAGGAAUCUGCCCAGUAGUGGGGGACAGCCCGAGGAAACUCGGAUUAAUACCGCAUACGCCCUAAGGGGGAAAGGGGGCCUUUGGCUCUCGCUAUUGGAGGAGCCUGCGUUGGAUUAGCUAGUUGGUGGGGUAACGGCCUACCAAGGCGACGAUCCAUAGCUGGUCUGAGAGGACGAUCAGCCACACUGGGACUGAGACACGGCCCAGACUCCUACGGGGGGCAGCAGUAAGGAAUCUUGUGCAAUGGGGGAAACCCUGACACAGCCAUGCCGCGUGUGUGAAGAAGGCCUUAGGGUUGUAAAGCACUUUCAGUAGAGACGAAUUAGCGGGGUUAAUAGCCCCGUGAAAUGACUUAACCUACAGAAGAAGAUCCGGCUAACUCCGUGCCAGCAGCCGCGGUAAUACGGAGGGAUCGAACGUUAAUCGGAAUUACUGGGCGUAAAGCGCGCGU